UGGCUCUUUGAAUUUAAUUAAUAAAGAGUCACACCUGCCCAAUGACUUAUUGUUUAAUGGCCGCAGUACCCUGACUGUGCAAAGGUAGCAUAAUAAUUUGCCCUAUAAUUGAGGGAUAGAAUGAAUGGUUUAACAAAAGUAUAGCUGUCUCUAAUAAUAUAUUUAUAAAUUAUUUUAUAAGUGCAAAACCUUAUAUAAAACUAAAAGACGAGAAGACCCUAUUGAGCUUUAAAUAUAAUUUAAAUAGUUUAUUUAAUAUUUUUGAUUGGGGCAAUCUAGGAACAAAGAAGCUUCCUUAUAAUUUUAGAUAUAAAAUGUUGAUCCAAUAAAAUUGAUUAAUAAAAUAAGUUACCAUAGGGAUAACAGCGUAAUUUUCUUUAAGAGUACUAAUCGAAAAGAAAGUUUGCGACCUCGAUGUUGGACUAAAAUGUCAUAAAGAUGUAGAAGUCUUUAAAGUUAGUCUGUU
rnacentral:rRNA from 1 species